UAUCCGGAAUUACUGGGCGUAAAGCGUCUGUAGGUGGUUUUUUAAGUUUCGUAUGAAACUCCAGGGCUCAACCCUGGAUUGUGCGAAAAACUGGAGAACUUGAGUGUGGGAGAGGCAAGCAGAACGGUAUGAGUAGGGGUGCAAUCCGUUGAUACAUACCAGAAUACCAAAAGCGAAGGCAGCUUGCUGGAACACUACUGACACUGAGAGACGAAAGCGUGGGGAGCGAAAGGGAUUAGAUACCCCUGUAGUCCACGCCCUAAACGAUGGAUGCUAGGUGUUGGACGUAAGUUCAGUGCUCAAGCUAACGCAUUAAGCAUCCCGCCUGGGGAGUACGGCCGCAAGGUUAAAACUCAAAUGAAUAGACGGGGACCCGCACAAGCAGUGGAUCAUGUGGUUUAAUUCGACAAUAAACGAGGAACCUCACCUAGGCUUGACAUUGAUAGAAUCCUCCAGAAAUGGAGGAGUGCCCGCAAGGGAGCUUGAAAACAGGCGCUGCAUGGUUGUCGUCAGCUCGUGCCUUGAGGUGUUCGGUUAAGUCCGUUAACGAGCGCAACCCACGUCGUUAGUUACUAUGUCUAACGAGACUGCUUGAGUUAAUCAAGAGGAAGGUGUGGAUGACGUCAAAUCAGCAUGGCCCUUAUGCCUAGGGCUACACACAUGAUACAAUGGUCGGUACAAACAGUCGCAAUACAGCAAUGUGGAGCCAAUCUGAAAAAGCCGAUCUCAGUCCAGAUU
rnacentral:rRNA from 1 species